rnacentral:rRNA from 1 species
CAUACUGUGGUGAAUACGUUCCCGGGCCUUGUACACACCGCCCGUCACACCAUGAGAGUUGAGAAUACCCGAAGUCCAUGUCAAAGUGGCCGAAGGUAGGCUUGAUGAUUGGGGUGAAGUCGUAACAAGGUACC